UGACGUAGUGGUUAGUUGAAUGUGAAUGAGUUAUUCUGAGUGAUGGCGGGUUGAAUGGAAUUGUUGAUGUGG